rnacentral:rRNA from 2 species
UGGGGAAUAUUGCACAAUGGGCGCAAGCCUGAUGCAGCAACGCCGCGUGAGUGAUGAAGGCCUUCGGGUUGUAAAACUCUGUCCUAUGGGAAGAAUAAAAUGACGGUACCAUAGGAGGAAGCCCCGGCUAACUACGUGCCAGCAGCCGCGGUAAUACGUAGGGGGCAAGCGUUAUCCGGAAUCACUGGGCGUAAAGGGUGCGUAGGUGGCUUAUCAAGCCAGAGGUGAAAGGCAUUGGCUCAACCAAUGUAAGCCUUUGGAACUGAUUAGCUUGAGUGCAGGAGAGGUAAGUGGAAUUCCUAGUGUAGAGGUGAAAUUCGUAGAUAUUAGGAGGAACACCAGUGGCGAAGGCGACUUACUGGACUGUAACUGACACUGAGGCACGAAAGCGUGGGUAGCGAACA